UACGAAGGGGGCUAGCGUUGCUCGGAAUGAGUCUGGGCGUAAAGGGCGGCGUAGGCGGCUGUUAACGAGUCAGAUCGUGAAAUUCCUGGGCUCAACCUGGGGGCUGCAUUUGAUACGUGAUGGCUGGAGUGGGGAAGAGGGUCGUGGAAUUCCCAGUGUAGAGGUGAAAUUCGUAGAUAUUGGGAAGAACACCAGUGGCGAAGGCG
rnacentral:rRNA from 1 species